UGCGUAGGCGGCUCAGAAAGUAGGGUGUGAAAGCCCUCGGCUCAACCGAGGAACUGCGCCCUAAACUACUGGGCUUGAGGAACGCAGAGGUAAGCGGAACUUAGGGUGGAGCGGUGAAAUGCGUUGAUAUCCUAAGGAACACCAGGAGCGAAAGCGGCUUACUGGGCGUUUUCUGACGCUGAUGCACGAAAGCUAGGGGAGCGAACGGGAUUAGAUACCCCGGUAGUCCUAGCCGUAAACGAUGAGCACUGGAUUGGAGGCCCCCCCAUAGGCUUCUAGUCGUAGCGAAAGUGUUAAGUGCUCCGCCUGGGGAGUAUGGUCGCAAGGCUGAA
rnacentral:rRNA from 1 species